AGUGAACGCUGGCGGUAGGCCUAACACAUGCAAGUCGAACGGCAGCAUAGUAGGAGCUUGCUCUUACGGGUGGCGAGUGGCGGACGGGUGAGGAAUACAUCGGAAUCUACUUUUUCGUGGGGGAUAACGUAGGGAAACUUACGCUAAUACCGCAUACGACCUACGGGUGAAAGCAGGGGAUCUUCGGACCUUGCGCGAUUGAAUGAGCCGAUGUCGGAUUAGCUAGUUGGCGGGGUAAAGGCCCACCAAGGCGACGAUCCGUAGCUGGUCUGAGGGGAUGAUCAGCCACACUGGAACUGAGACACGGUCCAGACUCCUACGGGAGGCAGCAGUGGGGAAUAUUGGACAAUGGGCGCAAGCCUGAUCCAGCCAUACCGCGUGGGUGAAGAAGGCCUUCGGGUUGUAAAGCCCUUUUGUUGGGAAAGAAAAGCAGCAGGUUAAUACCCCGCUGUUCUGACGGUACCCAAAGAAUAAGCACCGGCUAACUUCGU
rnacentral:rRNA from 1 species